UCUCUCUCUCUCUCUCUCUCAUGAGAUCUCUCUGAAAAUUUACUGUAAUUGUCUCAUCUCCACUUGUUGGUGGGCAAUUCUAUUUCUUCCUCCACUGUUGCUGCUUCUUUCCUUUAUUGGGUUUCCAAAAAUGAAGGUAAUUGACAAGAUAAAUGCAGCUAUUGGAGGGGCUGGACUACCAGAGGUUAAUGCAAAUGGCGGAGGAGACCCCAACAACAACAGGGUCGUUUUCUCCUUCGAAUUCUUCCCUCCCAAGACUGAGGAUGGUGUCGACAACCUCUUUGAGAGGAUGGACCGAAUGGUCUCUCACAACCCAUCUUUCUGCGACAUCACGUGGGGUGCUGGUGGCUCCACUGCAGAUCUAACUCUUGACAUCGCUAAUAAGAUGCAGAACAUGAUCUGCGUGGAGACGAUGAUGCACCUUACCUGUACUAAUAUGCCUGUUGAGAAGAUCGACCAUGCUCUCCAAACUAUCAAAUCUAAUGGCAUCCAGAACGUUCUCGCCCUUCGCGGUGACCCUCCUCAUGGCCAGGAUAAGUUCGUUCAGGUUGAAGGUGGCUUCGCUUGCGCUCUCGAUCUGGUGAAACAUAUCAGAUCCAAAUAUGGCGACUACUUUGGCAUUACUGUUGCUGGUUACCCAGAGGCUCAUCCGGAUAUGAUCGGAAGCGAUGGGGUGGCUACACCUGAGAAUUACCAGAAAGAUCUCGAGUAUUUGAAGCGAAAGGUUGAUGCUGGAGCUGAUCUAAUCAUCACUCAACUGUUCUAUGAUACUGAUAUUUUUCUCAAAUUUGUGAAUGACUGCCGCCAAAUUGGCAUAAAUUGUCCUAUAGUUCCUGGAAUUAUGCCCAUUUAUAACUACAAAGGCUUCUUACGAAUGACUGGCUUUUGCAAAACAAAGAUACCAGCUGAGGUUACUGCUGCAUUGGAGCCUAUUAAGGACAAUGAGGAAGCAGUCAGAGCCUAUGGAAUUCACCUUGGAACAGAAAUGUGCAAGAAGAUUUUAGCUCAUGGCAUUAAGACAUUGCAUCUUUACACUCUAAACAUGGAGAAAUCAGCACUGGCUAUAUUAAUGAAUCUUGGUUUGAUUGAUGAGUCCAAGAUAACAAGGUCAUUACCAUGGCGACGCCCUACAAAUGUUUUCCGUGCAAAGGAAGAUGUUCGUCCAAUAUUUUGGGCUAAUCGUCCCAAGAGCUACAUAUCAAGAACCUUGGGCUGGGAUCAGUACCCACAUGGUCGAUGGCAGGAUUCUUGCAAUCCAUCCUAUGGUGCUUUAACUGACUAUCAGUUCAUGCGAGCACGUGCCCGUGACAAGAAACUUCACGAUGAAUGGGCAACUCCAUUGAAUAGUAUUGAAGAUAUUCUUGAGAAAUUUAAAAAACACUGCCUGGGGAAGUUGAAAGGUAGCCCUUGGUCAGAAUUGGAUGGCCUUCAACCAGAGACAAAGAUCAUUAAUGAACAACUUGGCAAGAUCAAUUUGAAGGGAUUCUUGACUAUCAAUAGUCAACCAGCAGUCAAUGGGGAAAGAUCUGAUUCUCCAUCUGUUGGUUGGGGAGGACCAGGAGGAUAUGUUUAUCAGAAAGCUUAUUUAGAGUUCUUCUGCUCCACUGACAAGCUACAAGUUCUUGUUGACAAGUGCAAGUCCUUCCCUCUAGUAACUUAUAUGGCUGUGAACAAAGGAGGGACUUUGGUAUCCAAUGUUGGUCCAAAUGAUGUGAAUGUGGUAACCUGGGGAGUCUUCCCAGCAAAACAGAUUAUCCAGCCAACUGUUGUUGAUCCCGCCAGCUUCAAUGUGUGGAAGGAUGAGGCUUUUGAAAUCUGGUCUAGAGGUUGGGCUUCCUUGUACCCAGAGGAUGAUCCAUCUAGAAAAUUGCUUGAAGAGGUGCAGAGCAGCUACUUUUUGGUCAGCUUAGUAGAUAAUGAUUACAUACAUGGUGAUAUUUUUGCGGUUUUUGCAGAUUUAUGAGGCUAGCUGCUGCGGGCAGCUCCUCUAUUUUCUAAGAUCCCAUUUAAAGCCACUCAAAAUGGUGUGUUUAUUAUAAGUUUAGUCAUAGCUGUGUUUCAUUUUGGUGUUUUCGAACUCUUGAUGAUAUGUAAUAACAAUUCAUUGGGAUUUUGAUACCUCCCUCUGGGUUAUGGUGUAAAAGCCAUUUCAAGUGGUAGCAAAUUUACUGGCCUAAAGCAUAUGUAUUAUUACCAUUCUUUAUUGAGUUGCCACACUCCUCUUCAUAGUCAUAAAGCUGAAGUUAUCGAUUUUACCCUUUGAUAAUCCUGGCCUCCUGGGUGUUGUCUCUCCCAGCUCCCAAUACAACCUUAGCUCUGAUUCUUUUGUUUUUCUUUUUUGUAUUUUGGAAAUGUUUGAGGGUAUGAUUAGUAGUUAGUCUCUUGAUCAAAGAUUGCAGGGAGUGGCACUAAAUUUAAAAGUUUAUCAUGUGGCUAUAAUAGGUUUAUGACGUAUUAUUCAUAAUUUAAG
rnacentral:misc_RNA from 1 species